CAACGGCGCCUGAACACGCCGUCAUCUGGCGGAUGGCCUGUCCCCCGCCGAAGCCGGAUGAAGGACAAAGGCCUAUCCCCCCUCUCCGGGCCUUUGUCCCAGAUUGACAAGACCGCCACGGCUCCGCCUCCGCCGUGGCGGUCUUUG
rnacentral:sRNA from 1 species